UACGUAGGGUGCAAGCGUUGUCCGGAAUUAUUGGGCGUAAAGAGCUCGUAGGCGGUUUGUCGCGUCUGCUGUGAAAACCCGAGGCUCAACCUCGGGCCUGCAGUGGGUACGGGCAGACUAGAGUGCGGUAGGGGAGAUUGGAAUUCCUGGUGUAGCGGUGGAAUGCGCAGAUAUCAGGAGGAACACCGGUGGCGAAGGCGGGUCUCUGGGCUGUAACUGACGCUGAGGAGCGAAAGCGUGGGUAGCGAACAGG
rnacentral:rRNA from 1 species